GGGCGGAUGUAGCCAAGUGGAUCAAGGCAGUGGAUUGUGAAUC
rnacentral:tRNA from 3 species